CGGCCGCGUCGACCCUGGCUCAGGAUGAACGCUGGCGGUGUGCUUAACACAUGCAAGUCGAACGAAGCAGUCUUGUUGAAGCCUUCGGGUGGAAGUGAGACUGACUGAGUGGCGGACGGGUGAGUAACGCGUGGGCAACCUGCCUCACACAGGGGGAUAACAGUUAGAAAUGACUGCUAAUACCGCAUAAGCGCACAGCAUGGCAUCAUGCAGU
rnacentral:rRNA from 1 species